CCAUUAACCCACUGACAUUUAAUUUCAGCUCAAAGGUAAAGUGCAGUUUUUACUGAGAGAAAAUUAGAGAAGAUGAAGUUCACAGACUCGCCAGUGAUCGAUCUUCAAGUGCUAAAUUCUCAGCUAUCUUUCCACCAAGACAAUGGAUCCAUGCACGUAGGUACCAGCGUAUGGCCCUGUUCACUUGUCCUCGUCAAAUUCGCCGAACGUUGGCAUCCUCAAACAUGCGCCGUUACUCCGAAUCCCUAUUCCGACAUCCUUAACUUCCAAAACAAACGCGGAAUCGAACUCGGCGCCGGUUGUGGAGUAGCCGCCAUGGGCCUCUUCUUGCUGGGACUGAACAACGUCGUUAUCACUGAUAUCGCUCCUGUUAUGCCGGCCCUAAAACACAACCUUAAGAAAAACAAGCCCGUUUUGAAUAAAUCUUUGAAAACGGCUCAGUUGAAUUGGUCCAAUCAAGACCAGAUAAAAUCUCUUAACCCACCGCUUGAUGUCGUUGUUGCUACCGAUGUGGUGUACUUGGAGGAGACGGUGGGUCCAUUGCUCUCGACUAUGGAAGCUUUGCUGGGAGAGAACGGCGUCGUUUUGUUGGGUUACCAGCUGAGAUCUCCUGAAGCGCAUAAGAAGUUCUGGGAGCUUAGCGGAGACAUGUUUGAUAUCGAGAAGGUUCCACACGAGCAUUUACAUCCGGAGUACGCGUACGAGGAGACCGACGUUUAUAUUUUCAGAAAGAAGAAGAAACAAUAGGACUCUUCGUCGAAUUUGCGUUGUCUUGACAGGAAAAUUUUCCUCAAAUUGGAGGAUUAAUGUUGAAAUUAUUGAGUAUUGGGAUGCAGUGUUCCAAAUGGAGUGAAUGAUAAUGAAGGUUCAUAUAGCUGACCCCGGCUAGUUUGGUAUUUGUUGUUGUUGAGGAAAUAAAAAGAGUUGGGGUUUACGAAAAAUUCUACUUUAUAGUAGAUGUUCAUACUUGUAGCGGUAAGAGAUAUUGGCCUCAAAUCAGAAUGGAGACUAGCGUUGUCAACUGCAGAACUCCAAGCAGGUUCAACUCAGCCAUCUGCUGGCUUCACAAUGGCAAACUGUUUGCAUGCAUGAAUAUAAUUAUAGAUGAAACCUAUGUACUCUGUGAGAUGGCUGUUCUGCUGCGACUGUAGUUGGAUAGAUGGUGUGACGAACUUAGUAAUAUUCUGUUGCCAAAGGAUGUUAUGUAAAAUCAUCAACUGUUCAUAUAUUUCACGCUCGCACAACCCAUGGGCAUAGCGUAUUUGCUUCGCUGGGUACAAUGGGAUACUUGUUCUCAGUUUUACAUUGUAUCAAGUGUAUCAGCACUAUUAUUCCUGAGUGUUAUUUUUAGUCGUCAAUGUGUUAUUUGCUUCUACAUAGACAGGGUUGAAAUUGCUACCCAUCUCAUCAUUGUAAUAAAAUAAUCUGUAAUGUUGAUGCAUCAUUUUUGGAAAUCAUUUGGUUCUUGCUA